CGGAUAUGAGUAGAGCGGCGAACGGGUGAGUAACGCGUAGGAAUGUACCUAGUAGAAGGGGAUAGCCCGAGGAAACUCGGAUUAAUACCGUAUACCUCCUUCGGGAGAAAGAAGGCCUCUCUUUGAAGCUUUCGCUACUAGAUCAGCCUGCGUAAGAUUAGCUUGUUGGUGAGGUAAUGGCUCACCAAGGCUACGAUCUUUAGCUGGUCUGAGAGGACGAUCAGCCACAUUGGGACUGAGACACGGCCCAGACUCCUACGGGAGGCAGCAGUGGGGAAUAUUGGACAAUGGGCGCAAGCCUGAUCCAGCCAUACCGCGUGUGUGAAGAAGGCCUUCGGGUUGUAAAGCACUUCAAGCAGGGAGAAAAAAAUAUAGGUUAAUACCCUAUGUUCUUGAUGUUACCUGCAGAAUAAGCACCGGCUAAUUCCGUGCCAGCAGCCGCGGUAAUACGGAAGGUGCAAGCGUUAAUCGGAAUUACUGGACGUAAAGCGCGCGUAGGUGGUUUGUUAAGUUGGAUGUGAAGGCCCUGGGCUCAGCCUAGGAACUGCAUCCAAAACUGACUGACUAGAGUACGAUAGAGGGAGGUAGAAUUCAUAGUGUAGCGGUGGAAUGCGUAGAUAUUAUGAAGAAUACCAGUGGCGAAGGCGGCCUCCUGGAUCUGUACUGACACUGAGGUGCGAAAGCGUGGGUAGCGAACAGGAUUAGAUACCCUGGUAGUCCACGCCGUAAACGAUGACAACUAGCUGUUGGGAGGCAAUGCCUUUCAGUGGCGCAGCUAACGUUUGAGUGUCCGCCUGGG
rnacentral:rRNA from 1 species